GAUGAACGCUGGCGGCGUGCCUAAUACAUGCAAGUCGUGCGGCAGCGAGCCCUUCGGGGUGUCGGCGAGCGGCGGACGGCUGAGUAACGCGUAGGAACGUACCCCAAAGUGAGGGAUAACUGCCCGAAAGGGUGGCUAAUACCGCAUGUGCUCUUCGGAGUAAAGCUAUAUGCGCUUUGGGAACGGCCUGCGUUCGAUUAGCUAGUUGGUGAGGUAAAUGCUCACCAAGGCGACGAUCGAUAGCUGGUCUGAGAGGAUGAUCAGCCAGACUGGAACUGAGACACGGUCCAGACUCCUACGGGAGGCAGCAGUAGGGAAUUUUCCACAAUGGGCGAAAGCCUGAUGGAGCAACGCCGCGUGCAGGAUGAAUGCCUUCGGGUUGUAAACUGCUUUUAUGUGCGAAGAAUUUGACGGUAACAUAUGAAUAAGGAUCGGCUAACUACGUGCCAGCAGCCGCAGUAA
rnacentral:rRNA from 1 species